rnacentral:rRNA from 1 species
CGGCCAGGGAUGUGCUCGCGGCCUAUCAGCUUGUUGGUGGGGUAAUGGCCUACCAAGGCUUCGACGGGUAGCCGGCCUGAGAGGGUGACCGGCCACACUGGGACUGAGACACGGCCCAGGCUCCUACGGGAGGCAGCAGUGGGGAAUAUUGGACAAUGGGCGGAAGCCUGAUCCAGCAACGCCGCGUGAGGGAUGACGGCCUUCGGGUUGUAAACCUCUUUCAGUACCGACGAAGCGCCGAUGAUGGUGGUGACGGUAGGUACAGAAGAAGCACCGGCCAACUACGUG